GAGGUCCAGCCUGCCCAGUGAUAUAUUUAACGGCCGCGGUACUCUAACCGUGCGAAGGUAGCACAAUAACUUGUUCUUUAAAUGGGGACUAGAAUCAAUGGCAUCACGAGGGUUACACUGUCUCCUUUAUCUAAUCAGUGAAACUGAUCUCCCCGUGAAGAAGCGGGGAUAAAUUUAUAAGACGAGAAGACCCCAUGGAGCUUCAAACCUGGUAAUACCUCUAUAUGUACUAGUUUUGGGCUGGGGUGACCGCGGAGUAAAACCCAACCUCCGCAAUGAACAGAUUAAAACCUUAAUCCAAGAGUGACAUCUCUAAGAAUUAAUAAAUUAACAUAAGUGAUCCGAUUCGAUCAACGAACCAAGUUACCCUGGGGAUAACAGCGCCAUCCACUUCAAGAGCUCCUAUCGACAAGUGGGUUUACGACCUCGAUGUUGGAUCAGGGUAUCCUAGUGGUGCAGCCGCUACUGAAGGUUCGUUUGUUCAACGAUUAAAACCCU
rnacentral:rRNA from 1 species